GAUGAACGCUGGCGGCGUGCCUAACACAUGCAAGUCGAGCGAUUUUCUUCGGAAGAGAGCGGCGGACGGGUGAGUAACGCGUGGGCAACCUGCCCUUCAGACGGGGACAACAUUCCGAAAGGAGUGCUAAUACCGGAUACGACCUUUGAACCGCAUGGUUUAAAGAAGAAAGGUGGCCUCUAUUUAUAAGCGACCGCUGAAGGAUGGGACUGCGUCUGAUUAGCUAGUUGGUGGGGUAAAGGCCUACCAAGGCGACGAUCAGUAGCCGGUCUGAGAGGAUGAACGGCCACACUGGGACUGAGACACGGCCCAGACUCCUACGGGAGGCAGCAGUGGGGAAUCUUCCGCAAUGGGCGAAAGCCUGACGGAGCAACGCCGCGUGAGUGAAGAAGGUCUUCGGAUUGUAAAGCUCUGUUUAAAGGGACGAAUGGUCAGAUUGUGAAUAAUGAUUUGGCAUGACGGUACCUUUGGAGGAAGCCACGGCUAACUACGUGCCAGCCGCCGCGGUAACAC
rnacentral:rRNA from 1 species